rnacentral:rRNA from 1 species
CUCGUAGCUUGCUAUGAGAACAAUUAGUGGCAGACGGGUGAGUAAUGCAUAGGAAUCUACCUAGUAGUAUAGGAUAGCCACUAGAAGUGGUGGGUAAUACUGUAUAAUCCCUGCGGGGGAAAGAUUUAUCGCUACAUGAUGAGCCUAUGUUAGAUUAGCUAGUUGGUGGGGUAAUGGCCUACCAAGGCAGUGAUCUAUAGCUGGUCUGAGAGGAUGAUCAGCCACACUGGAACUGAGACACGGUCCAGACUCCUACGGGAGGCAGCAGUGGGGAAUAUUGGACAAUGGGCGCAAGCCUGAUCCAGCUAUGCCGCGUGAGUGAGGAAGGCCUUAGGGUUGUAAAACUCUUUCAGUGGGGAAGAUAAUGACGGUACCCACGGAAGAAGUCCCGGCAAACUCCGUGCCAGCAGCCGCGGUCAUACGGAGGGGGCAAGCGUUGUUCGGAAUUAUUGGGCGUAAAGGGCAUGUAGGUGGUUUGGUUAGUUAAAGGUGAAAUGCCAGGGCUUAACCCUGGAGCUGCUUUUAAUACUGCCAGACUGGAGUCCGGGAGA